rnacentral:rRNA from 1 species
UACGUAGGGUGCAAGCGUUGUCCGGAAUUAUUGGGCGUAAAGAGCUCGUAGGCGGUUUGUCGCGUCUGCCGUGAAAGUCCGGGGCUCGACUCCGGAUCUGCGGUGGGUACGGGCAGACUAGAGUGCAGUAGGGGAGACUGGAAUUCCUGGUGUAGCGGUGAAAUGCGCAGAUAUCAGGAGGAACACCGAUGGCGAAGGCAGGUCUCUGGGCUGUAACUGACGCUGAGGAGCGAAAGCAUGGGGAGCGAACAGG